GCCGAUGUCUGAUUAGCUAGUUGGUGGGGUAAAGGCCUACCAAGGCGACGAUCAGUAGUUGGUCUGAGAGGACGACCAGCCACGCUGGGACUGAGACACGGCCCAGACUCCUACGGGAGGCAGCAGUGGGGAAUUUUGGACAAUGGGCGCAAGCCUGAUCCAGCAAUGCCGCGUGAGUGAAGAAGGCCUUCGGGUUGUAAAGCUCUUUCAGUCGAGAAGAAAAAGCUGCAGUGAAUAACUGUAGUUCAUGACGGUAUCGACAGAAGA
rnacentral:rRNA from 1 species